rfam:Roseovarius sp. TM1035 1101493006649, whole genome shotgun sequence.
GGAGAGGUGCCGGAGUGGUCGAACGGGGCGGUCUCGAAAACCGUUGUGGGGGCAACCCCACCCAGGGUUCGAAUCCCUGUCUCUCCG